AAAGUCGUAACAAGGUUUCCGUAGGUGAACCUGCGGAAGGAUCAUUAGUGAUUGCCUUCGGGCUAAAAACUAUAUCCAUAUACACCUGUGAACCGUUCGAUUGACCUGCAAAGGUUAAUUUUACAAACAAUGUGUAAUGAACGUAAUAUUAUAAUAACAUAAUAAAACUUUUAACAACGGAUCUCUUGGCUCUC
rnacentral:misc_RNA from 1 species